AUUUAUUAUAUAAUUAGAUAGUAAGUGAUAAAAUUCAAUUGAUUUUGAGAGAUCUUGAAUAUUUAUAGUUUGCUUAUGCAGAUAGUAGAAUAUUUGACUAAGAAUUUGAUAUGGUGAUAAAGAGAUAGUAGUAAUACAUUCUUCGAUGUAAUAAUAUUUGAGGACUAGUUCAAAUUAAGGAUGAGAUAUUUUGAAGCUCUUGAGGACUUGG
rnacentral:lncRNA from 1 species